UACGGAGGGGGCUAGCGUUGUUCGGAAUUACUGGGCGUAAAGCGUACGUAGGCGGCUUUGUAAGUUAGAGGUGAAAGCCCAGAGCUCAACUCUGGAAUUGCCUUUAAGACUGCAUCGCUUGAAUCGUGGAGAGGUUAGUGGAAUUCCGAGUGUAGAGGUGAAAUUCGUAGAUAUUCGGAAGAACACCAGUGGCGAAGGCGACUAACUGGACACGUAUUGACGCUGAGGUACGAAAGCGUGGGGAGCAAAC
rnacentral:rRNA from 1 species